AACGAACGCUGGCGGCAUGCCUAACACAUGCAAGUCGAACGAGACCUUCGGGUCUAGUGGCGCACGGGUGCGUAACGCGUGGGAACCUGCCCUUAGGUUCGGAAUAACUCCCCGAAAGGGGUGCUAAUACCGGAUAAUGUCUUCGGACCAAAGAUUUAUCGCCUUUGGAUGGGCCCGCGUUGGAUUAGCUAGUUGGUAGGGUAAAAGCCUACCAAGGCGACGAUCCAUAGCUGGUCUGAGAGGAUGAUCAGCCACACUGGGACUGAGACACGGCCAAGACUCCUACGGGCGGCAGCAGUGGGGAAUAUUGGACAAUGGGCGAAAGCCUGAUCCAGCAAUGCCGCGUGAGUGAUGAAGGCCUUAGGGUUGUAAAGCUCUUUUACCCGGGAUGAUAAUGACAGUACCGGGAGAAUAAGCUCCGGCUAACUCCGUG
rnacentral:rRNA from 1 species